rnacentral:lncRNA from 1 species
UGUUAAUAUUUUUAAAAAUGGUAAAACAGUAACUUUUUAUUUACCAAAUUAAAUUUAAAAAAAAACACAAAAAAAGGGAAAAAGCUGCAUCUGUCAUCCUCCUAUCCCUUCCCCAACCUAUCCAGUCCCACCAACCAAAAUCAGAACUUGAUAGUUCUAGUUUUUUCUUUCGUGCUGUAAUGAAAUCCUAAAAUCCCUAGCGGCAAACUUGCAGCUGAAGGAUUUCAACUUGAGAAACAAACCCCGGAGUUAUCCAUUCCAGGCUCUUCAUUUUGGUCCUCAUCUUUACAUACUGUAAGAUCCUCCGAUAAUACUCUAGAAAUUGAAGAUUUUGUUGCCUUUUCCAAUGAUUCAAAGGCCAUAGACAAUGACUUGGAGAUUGAGGACUCACGGUUAUCAAGGACUUUCAAAGAUGUCUAAGUUUUUGAAUUCAAAACUUGGAGCUUGGCUUUCAGCGCAUCUGCUUGCUUCUGGAGGUCCUGUUCGAGGGAAGAGAAAUGAUCGAAAAGUUCCUUCCACGAGCGUGCAGCUGGUCAUCAGAGAGGUUUGGCGCUGAAAAGUAUCGAAACUCGGCGGAGGUGAAAAUGCGCAGUGAUCGGGCAGCGAACCUAAAAGAGGAAAUUUGAGUUUGUUAUUGCACAAUUUGAGAAAAUGAAAACAAUUUGUGGUGCUUUUGGUUGGGAGCAUGAGGAAGAAGAAGAUACAGCUUUUCACCUUUUUUCUUUUCUUUUUAGUUUUUUAAAUUUAAUUAAUGUAAUUAUUUAAUUUGGUAAAUAAAAAAUUACUAUUUUACCUUUAUAAAAAUAUUAACA